CAGAACCUGUCACUGCCUUGGCAACCAUCAGAUCCAGCACUCCAGGACAAUUGUGUCCUUCUGCCUUGCCUUGGGCUUCCUGAGUGAAGGUCUGAGUUAUUCUGCCUUCAAACCGCAAGAUUUACAGCCAUGUUUCUGCUGUUCCCAUUUGAAGGCAGUGCCUAAAAGGAAGCAUGUGAG
rnacentral:lncRNA from 12 species